rnacentral:rRNA from 1 species
CCUGGUUGAUCCUGCCCGUAGUCAUUCGCUUGUUUCAAAGAUUAAGCCCUGCAAGGGUAAGGAUAAACAAUUCUAUACUGUGAAACUGCGAAUGGCUCCUUAUAUCAGUUAUAGUUUAUUUGAUAGUAUUUUAAUACUUGGAUAACCGUAGUAAUUCUAGAGGUAAUUCAUGCGUAAAGUCCCCACUUUUGGAAAGGAUGUAUUUAUUUGAUUGGAACCCAUCGGCUUUCGAGCUGUAUUGUGGUGAGUCAUAAUAACUUAUCGGAUUGCAGUAGCCUCCCGGCGGCGAUGAAUCAUUCAAGUUUUUGCCCUAUCAGCUUUUGAUGGUAGUGUAUUGGACUUCCAUGGCGGUAACGGGUAACGAAGAAUAAGGGUUUGAUUUUGGAGAGGGAGCCUGAGAGACGGCUUCCACAUCCCAGGAAGGCAGCCGGGGGGGAAAUUACCCAAUCGUGACACCCGGAGGUAGUGACAAUAAAUAUCAAUGCGGUCGGUUUUUCGAUUGCAAUUUGAAAAGGGACAAUUUUAAUCCCUUUCCGGGGAUCAAUG